rnacentral:rRNA from 1 species
UACGUAGGGUGCAAGCGUUAUCCGGAAUUAUUGGGCGUAAAGAGUUCGUAGGCGGUUUGUCGCGUCUGCUGUGAAAGUCCGGGGCUCAACUCCGGAUCUGCGGUGGAUACGGGCAGACUAGAGUGCAGUAGGGGAGACUGGAAUUCCUGGUGUAGCGGUGAAAUGCGCAGAUAUCAGGAGGAACACCGAUGGCGAAGGCAGGUCUCUGGGCUGUAACUGACGCUGAGGAGCGAAAGCAUGGGGAGCGAACAGG